GUGUGUAGAGCUUAUCCUCCUUCUAGCCAGUCACACCCCAAGCAGGCAGUUCCCACCUUGGAGGCAAAGGCUCAUUGCACUGAAUCCACAGCUCCAAGGCCAGAACCAGGCAGGCAGGGUCAGGAGCUAAGGCUUCCAGUCACCUUCCAUCAUGGGGACCACCAAUUUACCACUCGACCUUUCUCAGACACCCUUGCACUUUGUCCUGGCCUCACACUCUGGCCUCACUGUCACCAUCCCUGAGCCAGCCAAAGUGCAGAAUUGCUCAGUCCCCACUUCUCUGCCACCUGCCUCUGCUGAGCCUUUGUGGCAUUGCCCUGUGUAACCCAGCUCUCACUGCCCUGGAUGAGGGGCCCUGCAUAUGGAGCCAAUGAUCACGAAUGCCCAUCUAUGGCCCUGGUCUCCCUCAGAGCAGUAGGGAAAGCAGGUGUGGGGCUGGCCCCUGGGAAAGAUCCUUCCUGAGGCCUUUGUGACCUUGAAUCUCAGAGCAGAGUCAACACUAGGGGCCCUUUGGUAGUUUCUGGGAGGUUCUCACUCCCCUUCCAUUUCUACAUCUGUUGUUCAUAGGUCAUAGGAAGGAUAAAUUUUGUGAGUUUCCUAUAAGCAAGACCCCAAGGGGCUCUAGAUUUUCAAACGGAUCAGUGCCAUUCUAGAAGCGGUUCUUGUGUGCACCCCCUCAGUGGACACAGCCUCGGGAAGGACCAAGUACUGAAAGUGGCAUGAACUCCAGCGGGUACCUUAGAAGGUUCCAGGGAGGGCAGAUGUCUUGGGCCACCCCUAAAAAUCCUGAGCUGGGCACCAAGGCUGCCUGCACAGAUGACCUUGUUGGGGCAGGACUCCCAAACCUGUUCUAGGCCUAAGGAUCUCAUGUUAGACUUUAGAAGUGGGUCCCAUGAACAUCACAUGACUUAUGAACAGCACAGUAAUCCCAAAAGCCCUGAUGCCUCAGGUAGGAUCAGAAGGCACCAUUUUCCAAGGAGUUCAGAUGUCUCUAAGCAAAUUCCCUCUCAGCUCCCCUGGGAAAAUGUCAUUUCCAGGGUGCCCAGUUUAGACACUUCAGGGAUUCAGCGACCACCAAGGAGAGAAGUGUGGCUUAGGACUAUAGGUCCCCACCACCCUGGGGCAUGUCUCCGGUGGCCUCAUCCUGGAUGUGACACAUCUCCAUCAGGAGCCUUUAUGACAGUAAGAUUCCACAUGAACCUUGACGGUAAUCACUCCCAAUAAUUUAUUUGUUAUUUCCAGAAAGAUACAUGAGAAGCUUAGAAGGACCCAGCCCUCGAUGUUACUAUUUUUAUUUUCAAAGCCAUAUUUUUGUGCUCAUAGCACUUAGAUCAAUCUGUCUGUGUGCCCCUCCCUGCAUUCCACAACCUGGGUUGGUUCUAAAGAAGAUUUAUUUUUGUUCUGUGAAUAAUUUUGGACAGUUCUUGUACAUGUACAGAUAGAGAAAAUAACAUUUGAGAUCUUUUAUUGCUAUUCCUACAAAGAACACAAAUAAACUUUAACUUUAAACAUUUCA